GGAUAGCUCAAUUGGUAGAGUAAGAGACACUUGAUCUCAAGGUUGUGGGUUUGAGCCCCACCUUGGACA